rnacentral:rRNA from 1 species
UACGUAGGGUGCGAGCGUUGUCCGGAAUUAUUGGGCGUAAAGAGCUUGUAGGCGGUUUGUCGCGUCUGCUGUGAAAAUCCGGGGCUCAACCCCGGACUUGCAGUGGGUACGGGCAGACUGGAGUGUGGUAGGGGAGACUGGAAUUCCUGGUGUAGCGGUGAAAUGCGCAGAUAUCAGGAGGAACACCGGUGGCGAAGGCGGGUCUCUGGGCCGCAACUGACGCUGAGGAGCGAAAGCAUGGGGAGCGAACAGG